rnacentral:lncRNA from 1 species
CCAAUCUCAUGAAAUAAAUUGGGAAGCUUUCCAUAUUUCUAUGUAAAAAGUUUAUGUAACAUGGGGAUUGCUUAUAUUUGAGGUUUUGGUGAAACACAUCUGUAAAAAGUGUUUGUUCAUAAUGCCUUUUCAGAUGCAUAUAUUUUCUUACUUCUAAAAAUUCUCCUAUGAUAAGUUUUUAUUCAGCUUUUACAUUUCUUAAGUCUGUAGAUUUAAAUUUUCCUAAAAAUAAUACUUUUCUUCUAAGUUUUCAGAGUAUUAACCAACUUUUAUGCAAAUUUCCUUGUAAAUCAUCAGUUUGUAGUCAUUCUCUUAUUUCUAACAUAAUAUCUUUUCUCUUUUUUGCUUAUAAUUGUCUUUUCUGUUCAAAUUUAUUGUUUUAUUAAGGGAUCAGCUUUUAGUUUUGUUAAUAAAAUAUGCUUUAUUUGUGAUUUACUCCAAUAUUAUUUUUGUUUUUAUCUCAGCUAAGUUCUAAAUUACAUUUUCUUUUUUCUUUUGAUUUUUAUAACUCUAAUCUUUUCAAUCUUUAUUAUUUACUUGUAUUUUUAUCUAAAUAUAUGCAUUAAGAUAAUAAAUAUUCCUGCCAAAACUGUUUUGAUUUCUACCAUUAUUUUUUUUUUCCACUAAACAAGUUUCAGGCAAAGGCUCACUGACUUCAUAUUGACAUUUACCAGUGAAUCAGACACACACACACAAAUAGUAUUUCUCUUUGAAGACAGAGAAGAGCCAAAAAAGCACAGAAAACUUAAGAAUUGAGAUCUUGAAGAGACUAGAAGCCCAGAGAAGUGAGAUCAGAAUUUGGUCUUGUCUCUUCCUCUCAGAUAUUCUCCGUUUAAAGCUAUGGGUAAUAGGCUGAGCUCAUCAGAGUUUAUGGUGGUCUCACAGGGCUUGAGGAACAAAAGUAUAGAUCAAUAUCUACAAAGAUGGAAAAGAAUGAGGCUUUCAAAUGAAGGAUUAUGCUUUGAGCAUUACAAUGAUCCUGGAAUAUAUGAGUCUUCACAAAUUCAGAAAGCACUUAAUUAAUUUAAUCCCUGCUUAGAUUAAGGUGGUCUCCUAAAGUUCCUGCCAUGAAUAAAAAUUAAAUUCCCUCUGAAAGAAUGCUUUAAAUUACUCUACAAUUCUUAAUAAACAAUGUCCUGCAUUUGAUUUAAAAAUCAGGACUGCUAUCAAUAAAUGAUUGAUAACAAAUAGAAAAAGUGAUUAAAAUAGACCUACAACAAACUUAGAUAAUAUAGCUGUAUGAUAUUAUAUAACACACUCAAAAACUUACAAAUUGGAAGUCUUAGCAGAGAACUA